UCGCGCGUGUUUUGUGUUUUGUGGCGGCCAUUUUGAAUUUUUAAUACGCCCGCGGUGUGCUAGUGCGAGGUCUGGAGCCGAAAUUACGGAAGUCUGGGACGGGCGGGAAAAUUCGCAAAUUCUCGGAGGUAGCCGAUAGCUCACCGAGGAUAAUAAAAGCAGGCCCCGAGCGAUUUUCCGUAAUUUCGGUUCCAGACCUCCCACUAGCACACCGCGUAUUAAAAAUUCAAAAUGGCCGCCACAAAACACAAAACACGCGCGAUAGAGGUAGGUUCAUCUUUUAUUCAUGUUCUAAACGGAUGUGAGGGCUCCCUGUGUGGCGGUUCGUCGGGAGAAGGGUAGCGAAGAUAGCCGACUAUAUGAGAACAAAAUGUUUGCUUCAACUGUUUGUGGAUGACUCAUGACGACGGAACAAGUCACAAAGGAUUGGGAAACUGAAAGCCUUCUUAAGUUGUGUUUUAUUGCAACAGGCAAGUUGUUGGAGACAUAGAUCACAGGAUCAAGGACCGUGGACCGGGGACCGGGGACCGGGGACC